rnacentral:misc_RNA from 1 species
UUUCCGUAGGUGAACCUGCGGAAGGAUCAUUAACACUUUUUUAAUUAAUAUUAUUAUUUUGAUUUAAUAAUAAUAUUAUUAUCAACCCCCCCUUUACAAAUGAAUGAAUUAUUCUUUUUUAUCAUUUUUACAUUUUUGACCCCAAUUUUAUUUUAUAUAAAAAAAAACUUAAAUGAAUAAUUAAUUCUAUUAAUUAAAUUAAAAAAACAACUUUUAACAACGGAUAUCUUGGUUCUC